rnacentral:lncRNA from 1 species
AAAGAUUUUAAAAUAAAACCAAAAAAAAACCUUUAUCACAAGUGAGAUGUUUCAACUAGCUUUUUAUCUAAAACCUACAGAGCCGAGUCACAGUCUGCUGGUGAAAGUUGCAUUACGAUCUGGCUUUUGCUUGGAAAGGCUUAGAAAUCAGGGAGGUGGGUUUUUUAAGGAUUUCAAAGACCUAUACAUACCAAAGGAGCAAUUUCCUAGGCUCUUUCCUAGUUUGUAUGAAACAUCCCUUCCUUAAGAGUGUUUUUUUUUUUUUUUUUACUUGAACUGUGUUUCUUUUGAUCUGUUUUCCCUAUCUUCAUCACUGCAUUCCUAAUUUUUUUCCCCCAUUUUUGGCCAUCCCCACCAUACACAGAGUUCCCCAGGCCAGGGAUCAGAUCUGAGCUGCAGUUGUGACCUCUGCUGCGCCAGAUCCUUAAAUCCACUGUGCUCCGAGUUGAAUCUGUGUUCUGGCGCUGCAGAGAUGCUGAUGAUCCUGUUGUGUCACAGCAGGAACUCCUCUAAUUUGUUUCCAAUAACAAAUUGGUUUGGGGAAGGGGAUGAACAAGAGAAGAGGCAGAGAAGUGCUUUUAUAGGUAGAAGCUGAGCUUCAGGUUUCCUCUUUACUAACUAAACUGAAUUGUGAGAGGUGGAGAUUGUUGGCCAUUCUGUGGCCCUGUGAACCUGGGAACUUCUGUUAACCUUGCAUUUUCUAACGAUAAAGGGAAAGAAGGAUUGUAACGUAUCAAUUAAGAAUGACUUUAGGGGGACUUCCCGUUGUGGCACAGUGGUUAACGAAUCCGACUAGGGACCAUGAGGUUGCGGGUUCAGUCCCUGCCCUUGCUCAGUGGGUUAACGAUCCGGCGUUGCCAUGAGAUGUGGUGUAGGUUGCAAAUGUGGCUCGGAUCCCGCGUUGCUGUGGCUCUGGCCUAGGCCGGUAGCUACAGCUCCUAUUCGACCCCUAGCCUGGGAACCUCCAUAUGCCGCGGGAGCGGCCCAAGAAAUAGCAACAACAACAACAACAGACCAAAAGACAAAAAAAAAAAAAAAAAAAAAGACGAAAAAGACACACAUACACAAAAGUUUUUUUAAAGGUGGGUAUUUUGCUUUUCUUCUUUAAUCAUCAUGAAUUAUUUUUGUAGUAAGAAAACAUUCUUGGAGUUCCGGUCAUGGCUCAAUGGUUAACGAAUCUGACUAGCCUCCAUGAGGACACUGGUUUGAUCCUUGGCUUUGCUCAGUGGGUUAAGGAUCGAGCAUUGCCGUGAGCUGUGGUGUAGGUUGCAGACGCAGCUCAGAUCCUGCAUUGCUGUGGCUGUGGUGGCUACAGCUGAUUCAACCCCUAGCCAUAUGGGAACCUCCAUAUGUUGUGGGUGCAGCCCUAAAAAAGCCCCCCAAAAAGAAAAAUUCUUAAAGAAAUGAAAGAAUGGUACAGGACAUUCUUAGGGUUAAUUUUGAAUAAAAAUUAAAAGUUUAAAAAAGUUUUUGUGAACAGUGAAUUCAUUUUCUUGCCUGGUAAAAUAGCUCUUAGGACAGCUUUAAAAGACUGAAUUCAGAUCUAGCCAGCAGAGGGCGGUAAGAAGCUCAUGUUAGAGGAACCACUGACUACAGCAGGGCCCUUAGGAAAAGAUUCUUCUUGCACUUCUUGAAGAUUGUUGGGCUUUGUUUACUACUUUUGGUUGCACUUGCUUUUUGCCUUGAUAUUGGAGGAGCCACACUCCCUCAGUGUGGUCAUCAUCAUAUGCUUUGGGAGUUUGUCAGUAGCGGUGACUAGUUAACUUAUAUACAAGUAAGAAAUUGAAACUCUAUGACAUAUUCCUAGAGGAAAUGGUUUUGCUCUGUGACAGUGGUCUGUAUGUUUUUGUUAGGCCCCUUUUUCUUCUACUAUACUAAGAAUUUGUCCAGAGCUAUCUGUAGACCAAAAGGGUUUGGAGCAGGCCCAUUCUGGAAAAUGGGUACAAUUUGGAGAGUAUCAAGGGAACAGCUAUACUGGAGGUUAUCCCCAGUCCACAGUGCAGCUCUAUGGAAAGCACUGACUUGGCUCUGCACUGUAUCUUCUGUGCCUAGAAUAGUGCUUGUUGUGGUAGGUGUUCCCCUAUUUUCUAUUGGAUGAAUGGAUUUGGUCUGCCUAUCUGUUUAGUUAAUUUGUGGGUUUAAACUCCCCAGCCUCUUUUGACACUUCAAUUUCUCAUAUUCCUUUUUUUUUGGCAACAAGAGUGAAUCUCUCAAGUUGGGCCUCUUCUAGACUUGAAUGGUGCCAAGCUGUCUCAACUUCCCUUCUCUCCAGCUCCACUCUAGGGAGCAGGGCAGAGAAGCCUAGCCUAUCACAAUAUGGGGUACAUAGUUCUAAGAACCUGAAAAAAUAAUUUUAAAAGCUAUUAUGAGACCUGGGAACAGUAAAAUGCACAUGAAUUCAGGGAAACUAUUUUUACACUGUAAUAAUUUCUUUUUGAAGCCUAUUUAUUGAGACACAUGCCAACAGCACAAGUAUUGUAUGAGUGAUGUGAAUUAAACCUUACACAAAUGUAGUAUUUGUCUUUUUAUUUUUCCUUCUUUCAAUUCAGCUGCCCCCAACUAAAAUUUACAAACAGAUAUAAAAAUCCUGUUUGUACCUGGUUGGCUUGUUAGAAAAAUACAGGGUAAAAGGCCUGUGAUAUUUCACAGUGCUGCCACCAGGUUAAAUGGAUCAAAAUGCACAUAAAAAAAAUAAAUAUGAGAUCCAUAAGGGAAAAAUAAAAUAUUAACAUACGAAAUGCUGCAAAUUAAAAAUCCUGUCUUCUCCUUUAGAUUUGAUGUUUGGAUAUACUUGGUGAGUUCCAGGGGUCAGCAGAUGUUUUGCUAACUGGGUGUGUGUGGUGUCUUACUGGGAGGUACUUACCCACUCGUGGAUCAUAAAGUGAUGCAGUUAUGCCAUUAUUUCAGGAGGGAGUGCACGUAUAAUUUUAAAGAAGAAAAUAAAACCCUUUUCUAUCCCACCCCAAAUUUCUGGCGUGUCGAGUCUAGAAAUUCUAUCCUCAAAUAAACAUGAAAAUGAUAAUGCAAAUGAUAAAUGAUAAUGGCGAUGUGCAGGAGCAAAGUUCAGAGACCAUCGUGGAGAGGAAACAAUGCUUAUUAAUUUUUUUUGAUUUUUUAAAAAAUGAAUGUGGUCAAGCCAUAAAAAUUAUACUUCUUGUUACCUUUAUCGUUGCCUAGUGUUGUUGCAUGAAGUGAGGCUUGUUCAAAGGGUACCUUCCAGGUUGCAUCUGGAGUCUUGAGUAAGACUGCAGGGCAGAUGGAGUUUUGAUAAAUAUUCAGUUACAGUUUGAAGCUGUCCUCCUGGAUGGCAGUACAAAUAAAACGGGUAAGAAAUGAGCUCAUCUUCAAAGCAACUUCUAUGUUUCGGUAAACCUACUGAGUGCUUUUCUCCUAUCAGGGCAAUCGAACAAUGGGCAACAACAGUUUCUUUCUCUUUCUGUCCCUCUGUCUCCCUUCCUUCCUUUCUUUCUUUCCUCUUUUUAGGGUCACACCCACAGCAUAUGGAUGUUCCCAGACUAGAGGUCAAAGCAGAGCUGUAGCUACCAGCCUACGCCACAGCCACUUGGAGUCCAAGUCACAUCUGCAACCUACACCACAGCUCAUGGCAACACCAGAUUCUUAACCCACUGAGCAAGGCCAGAGAUCAAACCUGUGUCCUCAUGGAUACUAGUUGGAUUGGUUGUUGCAGAGCCACAACAGGAAUUCCCAAUUUUGUACUUUUUAAAAGUCUUCCAUGUAAUCUAUUAUAUUGAGAUGUACAACCUCUAUGAAAUUGCUAUUUUGAUAUGUUAAAAAUAUUCAGAGAUGAGUAAUUUUCUGCAGGGACCUUUGCUUUAAACCACUGAGCGUGGCCAGGGAUUGAACCCACGUCCUCAUGGAUAUUAGGCUGGUUACCAUUGAGCCACAAUAGGAACUCCAACAGCAACUCUUUGAUGAAGCAGAAACCUGCCUGUCCCUUGAAUCCCAGGACCCUCCAGCAUGAUGACCAUUUGCAAGUAACAGUACAGAUUAUUUGUGGCAAGUGAUGGUAACAUAUUAAAAGCAAGCCGUACUUCUGAGGGGUGAGGGAGAGAAGAGCAAGGCAGGAGUGGAAUGGGGGAUGACAUGGAGACAGAGCCAGGCAGAGAGGUGGAAGGACGGAGAUGGGGAAGGAGGGGGAAGAGAGGAAAAUGGUGUAUAUUCAGGUUACUAUAGCCUAGUACAAAGGAUUUAUUUACUUGCUUCAUGCAUUAUUUUCUUCAGUUAAAAAAGAAAAUGUCACCAUUCACGUUUGAUUUUUGGAAGAUCAGCAUUCACCUAACAUUGUAAAUCAUUAGUUGAAAAUAAGUAUAAAUGAGUUGAAUAUUAGCUGACAAGUUAUAUUUUCAUUGCACUGGAUAGGAUCCCAAUAGUUAUUUUCCCUGGGGAAUCUCAACUGAAAUAAUGUUUUAUUCAAGUGAAAAUGCCCAUAGUCAUUAUCUAUCCCCAGACUUGUGCUUGUGUGUUGACAUUUUUUUCCUCAGAGCAGCAAAGUAAAAUAUUUUAUCCUACUUAUAUAGUUUAGCUGUAUCUUCCUAUUAAGGCAUUCAAAUUUGGAAAUUAACAGCCAGUUUGGGAAUACAAUUGCAUUGACAUGCCAGUGUUAUUGAUGUGCAGUGAUAAUAAGAGAAAAGGAAAAAAAAAUUUUUUUUUUUUUUGAGAUAUGGCACUCUGGUGGGUAUGUUUCCAGAUUCUGAAAUUUAGAGAUGAAAAGAAACUUUUGAACAGUUCCUUUAUGUAUUUUCUUGUAUCUGUCUCUGCUUUGGUCAAAUUCCAAAGACUGUAAUUUCUCUUAUUAGCUUUUGUCUUCCAUUUACUUGGUUCUCUGAGAGUGUUUCUAAAUUUGGAUUCAUUAGAGAGAAAUUGAUUUCCUGAGAAUACUUUAAUAUUAAAAUUAAGUAUAUAUGAUUGUUAUUUUUAAUGUCUUAAAAUGUUUUAUUUAUGUUUACAUCAUACAUAAUAAAAAUUUAAUGAAAAUAAUACUCAUAAAAUUCACAACUACCAACUUAAAGUUUAGAUGAAGACUGCAGAACUUCUCUAGAUUAGCUUCUAUCUAAACACCAAAUUUGAAAUUACUACAGCAGAUUCUUUUCCAUUAUAGGUUAUUACAAGCAUCUGAAAAAGAAUAUAUAUGUAUACAUAUUUGUACAUAUAUGUAUAACUGAGUCAUUUUGCUAUAUACGUGAAACUAAUACACUGUACAUUAACUGUAUUUUGAUUUAAAAUGGUUAAAAUAAUAAAGUUACUAUGUCAUUGCUAUCUUGAAUAAAAUUGGUUUUAAUC